rnacentral:rRNA from 1 species
GACAGAGGGGGCAAGCGUUGUCCGGAGUUACUGGGCGUAAAGGGCGCGGAGGCGGUCUGCUGCGUCGGCGCUGAAAGCGCCCCGCUUAACGGGGCGAGGCGCGCCGAUACGCGCAGACUUGAGGCUAGCAGAGGGUGGUGGAAUUCCGGGUGGAGCGGUGAAAUGCGUAGAGAUCCGGAGGAACGCCAGUGGGGAAGCCGGCCACCUGGGCUCGUCCUGACGCUGCGGCGCGACCGCGUGGGGAGCAAACCGG